rnacentral:sRNA from 1 species
GUUUUGCAUGAGGGAUAGCAGUGGAAAUCCUUUUUUGAUUUUUCUUCAAAAAAGAUUGAAACGGAUAGCCCGACCCUUG